rnacentral:tRNA from 1 species
UAAGUAUACAAUCUAUUGAAUUCAUUUAGCUUAAUAACAUUAACUCCACAAUUAUUAGUAAUA